AACGAACGCUGGCGGCGUGCUUAACACAUGCAAGUCGAACGUGAUCCGGAGCUUGCUCCGGUGAAAGUGGCGCACGGGUGAGUAACGCGUGGAUAACCUGCCCUGGUAUCCGGAAUAACAUCUCGAAAGGGGUGCUAAUACCGGAUAAGCCUACGGGAUCCUCGGAUUCUGCAGGAAAAGGUGGCCUCUAUUUAUAAGCUACCGUAUCAGGAUGGGUCCGCGUACCAUUAGCUAGUUGGUGGGGUAAUGGCCUACCAAGGCGACGAUGGUUAGCUGGUCUGAGAGGAUGAUCAGCCACACUGGAACUGAGACACGGUCCAGACUCCUACGGGAGGCAGCAGUGGGGAAUUUUGCGCAAUGGGGGAAACCCUGACGCAGCAACGCCGCGUGAGUGAUGAAGGCUUUCGGGUCGUAAAGCUCUGUCAGUAGGGAAGAAGUGUAAUGGUGCUAAUACCACCUUUACUUGACGGUACCUACAAAGGAAGCACCGGCUAACUCCGUGCCAGCAGCCGCCGUAACAC
rnacentral:rRNA from 1 species